rnacentral:rRNA from 1 species
GACGAACCGUACGAACGUUAUUCGGAAUUACUGGGCUUAAAGGGUGCGUAGGCGGCGCAGUAAGUUGGGUGUGAAAUCCCUCGGCUUAACCGAGGAAUUGCGCCCAAAACUACUGUGCUCGAGGGAGAUAGAGGUGAGCGGAACUUAGGGUGGAGCGGUGAAAUGCGUUGAUAUCCUAAGGAACACCGGUGGCGAAAGCGGCUCACUGGAUCGCUUCUGACGCUGAGGCACGAAAGCUAGGGUAGCAAACGGG